AGGAUGCUAGAAUCUUUUUCUUCAUUUUAUAUCCAAUUACUUAUAAGCUUGUCUUUGAUUGUAUCUAUCGCAAAGCAGAGUAAUCAACUUGAAGACAUUUUGAGAACAAGUAGCGGUAAGGGUUAUUUUCGUGAUCCGUGAAAGACAAAUUGAAAACCGUGAUUGCUACUUUCGCCGUGAUUCGUGAAUGCCGAAAGUUGCGGUUUAUCGUGAUCGUGAAACGUGAUUUCAGAUUUUUGAAACUCGUGAAACGUGCAGGGAUCUCCCUUACCGCCCCUGUGAGAAGAAGUUGCUCUUUGACAGCUGAAGUGGCUUUACCACAUACAAAAUUAAUCAACUGUUGGCAAUUAUUCAAUUGCUGGCAUGAGAACAAACGAGAACAAGGUGACAUUAACUUAAAUAUACCUACUGUUGUGGAAACCGCAUGCUAUAAAGAAACGGUGAUCCAAUCACAAUACUGGAACAAGUCAAAUUAAAAAUAUUAUGC